AUGAUGUUGAGCACAACGUUG
rnacentral:misc_RNA from 1 species